rnacentral:lncRNA from 1 species
GGUCUUCAUAGCAUAUGGUUUGAUGCUAUGUUUUGGCUUUAGGAGAAAAACAACAUUGCUAACACAUUGAUAUUUUAGUUGUUGCUGAGCAGUGCUGUAGAGAGACAAGGAUAUUUCAGUUUUUCAGCUUCUAGUACUGUUCUGCCAGCAUGGGGACCUGCGGAGCAUGAGGAGCUCAGAAGGGACAGAACCAGGACAGCUAGCUUACACUGGCCAAAAGGAUAUUCCAUAUUAUAUGACAUCAUACGAAAAAGAACUUCAAAAAUGGUGGGGACUUGGCUGGGGGAGCAGCUGCUGCUUGUAGACUGGCUGGACAUCAGUCCACAAGUGACAAUUAAUUUUUUAGGACUGUGGGUUGAAGAGAGCAGCCAGGUAAAAGGUCAUGAACACCAAAAUCCUCUACUUCUCCUCUGCAACAGAGAAAGACUUCCCUCCCAACACUGUGCCCGUGCGCCCCAACCUUCUCCCAGAGGAGUCAUCCCUACGGAAGAAGAGUUGCAUGAUUUUCCUCCAUGUGCUGCCAGCCUUUCCUUGUGCGGAAGGCAGUGGUCCAUAGGGGACCAGACAAGCAUUAGCAAUCUCCUUCCAUGCUGAACACUCCAGAGAAAUGACAAGCAAGAAAGGUGGCCACUUUGGAUCAGGGAGAAGACCCAAGAAGAGAGCACUGUGGGCACACUGGCACUGCUACUGACUGCUUUCUACCCAUCCUGGGGACACACAGAACUUUCCAGGCCUGGCAGUCUGAAGACUAAACAUUCCCUGUAUCCAAACAGACCC